GGAAUAUUGGUCAAUGGAGGCAACUCUGAACCAGCCAUGCCGCGUGCAGGAAGACGGCCCUAUGGGUUGUAAACUGCUUUUAUCUGGGAAUAAACCUACUUACGUGUAAGUAGCUGAAUGUACCAGAAGAAUAAGGAUCGGCUAACUCCGUGCCAGCAGCCGCGGUAAUACGGAGGAUCCAAGCGUUAUCCGGAUUUAUUGGGUUUAAAGGGUGCGUAGGCGGCCUGUUAAGUCAGAGGUGAAAGACGGUAGCUCAACUAUCGCAGUGCCUUUGAUACUGACGGGCUUGAAUAAACUAGAGGUAGGCGGAAUGAGACAAGUAGCGGUGAAAUGCAUAGAUAUGUCUCAGAACACCGAUUGCGAAGGCAGCUUACUAUGGUUUUAUUGACGCUGAGGCACGAAAGCGUGGGGAUCAAACAGGAUUAGAUACCCCUG
rnacentral:rRNA from 1 species